UGGGGAAUAUUGCGCAAUGGGGGGAACCCUGACGCAGCCAUGCCGCGUGAAUGAAGAAGGCCUUAGGGUUGUAAAGUUCUUUCGGUAUUGAGGAAGGUUGAUGUGUUAAUAGCACAUCAAAUUGACGUUAAAUACGGAAGAAGCACCGGCUAACUCCGUGCCAGCAGCCGCGGUAAUACGGAGGGUGCGAGCGUUAAUCGGAAUAACUGGGCGUAAAGGGCACGCAGGCGGUUAUUUAAGUGAGGUGUGAAAGCCCCGGGCUUAACCUGGGAAUUGCAUUUCAGACUGGGUAACUAGAGUACUUUAGGGAGGGGUAGAAUUCCACGUGUAGCGGUGAAAUGCGUAGAGAUGUGGAGGAAUACCGAAGGCGAAGGCAGCCCCUUGGGAAUGUACUGACGCUCAUGUGCGAAAGCGUGGGGAGCAAACAGGAUUAGAUACCCUGGUAGUCCACGCAGUAAACGAUGAGUGCUAGUUGUCGGGGGUCAAACCUCGGUGACGCAGCUAACGCAUUAAGCACUCCGCCUGGGGAGUACGUACGCAAGUAUG
rnacentral:rRNA from 1 species